ensembl:snRNA U6 U6 spliceosomal RNA
GUGCUUGCUUUGACAGCACAUGUACUAAAAUUGGAACGAUACAGAGAAGAUCAGCAUAGCGCCUGCGCAUGAUGACGCACAAAUUGGUGAAGCAUUCCAUAUAAAA